GUGGCCUGGUUCAAUACACAUGUACGCACACCAUGGUUGGGUUCAGCCCAACACGUACGCACGCUGGCUAGAGUAUUCCAGAAUGCGCACACGCACUCGACUCUAUCUCUCGCUCAGCUCUUUUCCUCUCGUACUUCUCUCGCUCGAUCCCCGCUGUCGCCGCCUGGGUCGCCGGCCGAUUCUGGCCGCUCCGGUGAGCUCCGGCGCCUCCCAGCACACCCAUUGCUGCUCCUUGGCGAGCUCUACCAGCUCCGCCGCAUCGAUCUACUUUUCCUCCCUCCUGUGGUCGUCCCCAACUAUUUCCUCGCUAGGGUUCCGGUGGUGGAGGCGGGUCUUGUCGCCGACGGCCCUUCGGGCGUCGCGGGGUUUCAUCCGGCACCUCCAGCGGCUCACCCCAGGCGGGUCUUGUCGCCGACGGCCCUUCGGGCGUCGCGGGGUUUCAUCCGGCACCUCCAGCGGCUCACCGUGAUGCGUUGGUGCCCCUGGGGUGGCGUCUCCGUGCGGUGAUGCCCUCGGGGUGGCGCCACCGUGCCCGGCGCUCGCCCUGGUCGUCGUGGUUGUGCUCCGGCGGCCUCCAGACCCUCUCCUGGAUGUGGUGAUGGUCACACCACAACCGUUGUGUGGCUGAGCUACAGCUAUGGCUACAAUCUCCCUCUGGUGAGGUCCUCCCGGUUCCUUCUCCAUUGAUUUUGCUCAUGCAUGGCCUUGGCCAUGAUUUGGGUUGGAUGUGGGAUUCUACUAGUUGCUGCUAGAUGUUGUAAUCAAGCAUCAACUCCUACUGGAGCUCUCUGGUGAUAAAUUCAUGCCGUUCUAGGGUCUGUCAGUAGCUGCCCAUGUGUAUUUGCUUUAUUUCUGUGCUCACGUGAUGGUCUGGUGGUAUAUGAUUGCUCUGGAUUUGCUAAGUUGGUCAGGAGCAAAGUGCUUAAUAUGUUGUUUGCUCCUAUGUGGCUCUGCUAUUCGUGUUAACUGAAGGAUUCUUUAGUUAUGAAGCUCCCUGGUUCGGUACACUAAUCCUAUUGUCUUUGUCUACUUGAUUUCACUUGCUGUACUUCCCACUGCAAGUUGAUUAACUGAAUAUGCUACUCUAGUUCCUGGAGUUGGUUACUUAAUUCUGUCUAUUUCCAUUGGUCCGGCUGACCUUCGGGUAAUAGCUAAUUAUACUUGUUGUUACAGGUUACUGCUAUUAUAUAUACUUACAGCAGCACUGCUAAUGAUACUAGCCCAUGUGCUGGUGGAUGUGGUGUCCUAUUUUCAGAAAAAUACCAUGUGUAAGUGGAGUGCAGUGUUCUGCAGAAGCAGAUAUUCAGUUGGGUGCUAACCUAUCUAUUUCUUCUAUGCUAUCUUUACUCUACUUAAGAAUAGAUACUGCUUCUCUUGGCUAUAUUCUGCUUUCUUGUCUAUUUUUCUAUCCCUCUCUCUUCUAUUAAACUGAUAAGAACAGAUGUUGCCUGAUCUUAUUGCUUAUGAUGCUGGUCUGAGGCCUCUCUGGGUUCUAAAGUUAUUUUUGUGGCUCCAAGAACUCCUACAAAUCCUGUGAUGCAUGACACAACAUUUCUGUGCACGCCUGAGGAUUCCAUCACUCCAAUCCUACCUCUGGUGCUGAGUAGCUUGGUCUCGAGGCUUUGGUUAUCCUUCUUCUUGUGGUUAGCCUGCACCUCCUCGCUGCUUCACACUAAUUCUCAGUGCUCUGGACGGGUGACUCAGCUGUGUGCUUGUUGUGUGUGCUGCUAGUGCUGUCCUUGCGUGAGUCUCUGGUGCUGGUGGUGUUGACAGCAGCUGCUUGCUGUUGUCAAGCUCUCCUUGAUGCCUAUCUUGUAAGCUGAUGGGUGGCUAAUUGCUUGGUUACUUGGUCCUGGCCGGGUGGGUUUGAUCUAUAUCUACUCCUGGCUUUAUUCUGAGGCUGAACAGUGGCUUAUAUCUACUGUCACUUGACAGGAUAUAUGCUACAUACUAAUCCUAACCCACUCUCUCUAGUGUUUAUGGUUGCAGGUUUUGAAGAAAAGAAGAAGAUCAAGAUUAAAAUCAAGAUCUUAGAUAUGAUAGUAUAGGAAGAAUAGAUAAUUUAGUUUAGGUUAUCUUUCCCGAAUUCUUUACAAUCCAAGAAUGUAUUCUCUUAUUAAUUAUUCAUGUAUGUCAUAUGUAAUAUAACUUUGUAAUAUUUAUCCGAUUAUCAAUAAAGCUUUAAUUUUCUUUA